rnacentral:rRNA from 1 species
UCUUGGUCAUUUAGAGGAAGUAAAAGUCGUAACAAGGUCUCCGUUGGUGAACCAGCGGAGGGAUCAUUACAGAGUUGCAAAACUCCCUAAACCAUUGUGAACGUUACCUAAACCGUUGCUUCGGCGGGCGGCCCGGGUCUCUCCCGGCGCCCCUGGGCCCCUCGCGGGCGCCCGCCGGAGGUAAACCAAACUAUUGCAUUGUAUGGCCUCUCUGAGUCUUUUGUACUGAAUAAGUCAAAACUUUCAACAACGGAUCUCUUGGUUCUGGCAUCGAUGAAGAACGCAGCGAAAUGCGAUAAGUAAUGUGAAUUGCAGAAUUCAGUGAAUCAUCGAAUCUUUGAACGCACAUUGCGCCCGCCAGUAUUCUGGCGGGCAUGCCUGUUCGAGCGUCAUUUCAACCAUCAAGCCCCGGGCUUGUGUUGGGGACCUGCGGCUGCCGCAGGCCCUGAAAUGCAGUGGCGGGCUCGCUGUCACUCCGAGCGUAGUAGUUACAUCUCGCUCUGGGCGUGCUGCGGGUUCCGGCCGUUAAAAGCCUUAUUUACCCAAGGUUGACCUCGGAUCAGGUAGGAAGACCCGCUGAACUUAAGCAUAUCAAUAAGCGGAGGAA